GACGAACGCUGGCGGCGUGCUUAACACAUGCAAGUCGAACGGAAAGGCCCUGCUUGCAGGGUGCUCGAGUGGCGAACGGGUGAGUAACACGUGGGUGAUCUGCCCCUUACUUUGGGAUAAGCCUGGGAAACUGGGUCUAAUACUGGAUAGGACCAUGCUGUCGGUGGUGUGGUGGAAAGAUUAGUUUCGGUAAGGGAUGAGCUCGCGGCCUAUCAGCUUGUUGGUGGGGUAAUGGCCUACCAAGGCGUCGACGGGUAGCCGGCCGGAGAGGGUGGACGGCCACAUUGGGACUGAGAAACGGCCCAGACUCCUACGGGAGGCAGCAGUGGGGAAUAUUGCACAAUAGGCGCAAGCCGGAUGCAGCGACGCCGCGUGGGGGAUGACGGCCUUCGGGUUGUAAACUCCUUUCAGCCAUGACGAAGCCCUUGUGGUGACGGUAGUGGUAGAAGAAGCACCGGCUAACUACGUG
rnacentral:rRNA from 1 species